rnacentral:rRNA from 1 species
AGAGUUUGAUCAUGGCUCAGAUUGAACGCUGGCGGUAGGCUUAACACAUGCAAGUCGUGCGAGAAAGCAUCUUCGGGUGCGAGUAGAGCGGCGGACGGGUGAGUAACGCGUAGGAAUCUACCUAGUAGAAGGGGAUAGCCCGGGGAAACUCGGAUUAAUACCGUAUACCUCCUUAGGGAGAAAGAGGGCUUAGCUUUGAUGCUCUCGCUAUUAGAUGAGCCUGCGUAAGAUUAGCUUGUUGGUGAGGUAAUGGCUCACCAAGGCGACGAUCUUUAGCUGGUCUGAGAGGACGAUCAGCCACAUUGGGACUGAGACACGGCCCAGACUCCUACGGGAGGCAGCAGUGGGGAAUAUUGGACAAUGGGCGCAAGCCUGAUCCAGCCAUACCGCGUGUGUGAAGAAGGCUUUCGGGUUGUAAAGCACUUUAAGUAAGGAGAAAAAGAUUGUAGUUAAUACCUGCAAUCCGUGAUGUUACUUACAGAAUAAGGACCGGCUAAUUCCGUGCCAGCAGCCGCGGUAAUACGGAAGGUCCAAGCGUUAAUCGGAAUUACUGGGCGUAAAGCGCGCGUAGGUGGUUUUUUAAGUUGGAUGUGAAAGCCCUGGGCUCAACCUAGGAACUGCAUCCAAAACUAGAUGACUAGAGUACGAAAGAGGGAAGUAGAAUUCACAGUGUAGCGGUGGAAUGCGUAGAUAUUGUGAAGAAUACCAAUGGCGAAGGCAGCUUCCUGGUUCUGUACUGACACUGAGGUGCGAAAGCGUGGGUAGCGAACAGGAUUAGAUACCCUGGUAGUCCACGCCGUAAACGAUGACAACUAGCUGUUGGGAGACAAGAUCUCU